UCUCCAAAGUCAGGAUAAUUUCAGAGGGAGACUGACAAGUUUUGGUAUGAUUCAUGAGAUAAUAAGAGAAGUGAAUAUACAUAUCAAGUGGUACAAAAUAUCAGCUAAUGAAACAAUGCAGCAUGUACAAAGCAUUGCACAACAGAGAUCGGCAUCCCUUUGUUACUCUACAGAUGGCUGCUACUGAAGUACAAGGCACAGAAAGGAGCGUACAAUUUUAACUAGAGCAGCUUCAGCUGAGAUGACACCUUCAAUUGGCUCAAACCACCUACCUUCACUCCCUGCAAUUCAUCUCACCGGUGCUUAUUUUCAAGAGAAGCUAAUGGUUUGCACCAGGGGCAACUAAAAUAAAAACAAAAUAAAUGAAAAGCCCUGAAACUCCAGUACGCUCAUUAUGAAAAACUGUGAAAAGCUGAUCAUUUAGUUCUACUGUUUG